CCUACGGGGGGCAGCAGUGAGGAAUAUUGGUCAAUGGACGCAAGUCUGAACCAGCCAAGUAGCGUGCAGGAUGACGGCCCUCCGGGUUGUAAACUGCUUUUAGUUGGGAAUAAAAGGGGGCUCGUGAGCCCCGUAUUGUAUGUACCAUCAGAAAAAGGACCGGCUAAUUCCGUGCCAGCAGCCGCGGUAAUACGGAAGGUCCGGGCGUUAUCCGGAUUUAUUGGGUUUAAAGGGAGCGUAGGCCGGCUUUUAAGUCAGCUGUGAAAGUCCGCGGCUCAACCGUGGAAUUGCAGUUGAAACUGGAG
rnacentral:rRNA from 1 species